AGCUUUGCACAGUGACAGUAUUGUAGCCAGUGAAGUUUAUCCGAGGCGCGAUUAUUGUUAAUUGAAAACUCUUUUCAGCUUACAGAAUAUUUUUAAUACUCCAUUUUAUUGCCUUCAUUGACUUUUUAAAUAAAG